GGUCAAGCGAAUAAGCGCACACGGUGGAUGCCUUGGCGGUCAGAGGCGAUGAAGGACGUGGCAGCCUGCGAAAAGUAUCGGGGAGCUGGCAACAAGCUUUGAUCCGGUAAUGUCCGAAUGGGGAAACCCACCCGCUUGCGGGUAUCCUGCAGUGAAUACAUAGCUGCUGGAAGCGAACCUGGUGAACUGAAAUAUCUAAGUAACCAGAGGAAAAGAAAUCAACCGAGAUUCCGUAAGUAGCGACGAGCGAACGCGGACUAGCCCUUAAGCUGAUUUGGUUCUAGGAAAACGCUCUGGAAAGAGCGGCCAUAGAAGGUGAUAGCCCUGUAUCUGAAAGGGCCAUUUCAGUGAAGACGAGUAGGGCGGGGCACGUGAAACCCUGUCUGAACAUGGGGGGACCAUCCUCCAAGGCUAAAUACUACUGACCGACCGAUAGUGAACCAGUACCGUGAGGGAAAGGCGAAAAGAACCCCGGAGAGGGGAGUGAAAUAGAUCCUGAAACCGUGUGCGUACAAGCAGUAGGAGCCUCGCAAGGGGUGACUGCGUACCUUUUGUAUAAUGGGUCAGCGACUUACUGUUCGUGGCAAGCUUAACCGUAUAGGGGAGGCGAAGGGAAACCGAGUCUGAUAAGGGCGCAUAGUCGCGGGCAGUAGACCCGAAACCGGGUGAUCUAGUCAUGGCCAGGGUGAAGGUGCCGUAACAGGUACUGGAGGCCCGAACCCACGUCUGUUGCAAAAGACGGGGAUGAGCUGUGAUUAGGAGUGAAAAGCUAAUCGAACCCGGAGAUAGCUGGUUCUCCUCGAAAGCUAUUUAGGUAGCGCCUCAUAUGUAUCCUCUCGGGGGUAGAGCACUGUUAUGGCUAGGGGUCAUCGCGACUUACCAAACCAUUGCAAACUCCGAAUACCGAGACGGACUGUAUGGGAGACACACGGCGGGUGCUAACGUCCGUCGUGAAAAGGGAAACAACCCAGACCCACAGCUAAGGUCCCAAAUUUUGUGCUAAGUGGAAAACCAUGUGGAAAGGCACAGACAGCCAGGAGGUUGGCUUAGAAGCAGCCACCCUUUAAAGAAAGCGUAAUAGCUCACUGGUCGAGUCGGUCUGCGGGGAAGAUUUAACGGGGCUAAGCACAGAACCGAAGCUUGGGGUGUGCAUAUUUAUAUGUACGCGGUAGAGGAGCGUUCCGUAAGCCGUUGAAGGUGGAUUGAGAAGUCUGCUGGAGGUAUCGGAAGUGCGAAUGCUGACAUGAGUAACGAUAAUGCGGGUGAAAAACCCGCACGCCGAAAGCCCAAGGUUUCCUUGCGCAACGUUAAUCGGCGCAGGGUGAGUCGGCCCCUAAGGCGAGGACGAAAGUCGUAGUCGAUGGGAAGCAGGUUAAUAUUCCUGCACCUCGCGUAAGUGCGAUGGAGGGACGGAGAAGGUUAGGCGUACCGGGCGUUGGUUGUCCCGGGGAAAGGCGGUAGGUUUGGAUCUUUGGCAAAUCCGGGAUCCUCUAAGACCGAGCACCGAGACGAGCCUUUAUGGCGAAGUCGCUGAUACCACGCUUCCAGGAAAAGCUCCUAAGCUUCAGCUUACGCAGACCGUACCGUAAACCGACACAGGUGGGUAGGAUGAGAAUUCUCAGGCGCUUGAGAGAACUCGGGUGAAGGAACUAGGCAACAUGGCACCGUAACUUCGGGAGAAGGUGCACCCUUUUUGGUGGCUCGUGCGAGCUAUAGCUGAAGAGGGUCGCAGUAACCAGGCCGCUGCGACUGUUUAUCAAAAACACAGCACUCUGCAAACACGAAAGUGGACGUAUAGGGUGUGACGCCUGCCCGGUGCUGGAAGGUUAAUUGAUGGGGUCAGCCGCAAGGCGAAGCUCUUGAUCGAAGCCCCAGUAAACGGCGGCCGUAACUAUAACGGUCCUAAGGUAGCGAAAUUCCUUGUCGGGUAAGUUCCGACCUGCACGAAUGGCGUAACGACAGCGGCGCUGUCUCCACCCGAGACUCAGUGAAAUUGAAAUCGCUGUGAAGAUGCAGCGUUCCCGUGGCAAGACGGAAAGACCCCGUGAACCUUUACUAUAGCUUUACACUGAACGUUGAGUUCGUCUGUGUAGGAUAGGUGGGAGGCUAUGAAACCAUGGCGCUAGCUGUGGCGGAGCCAUCCUUGAAAUACCACCCUGUCGUGCUUGACGUUCUAACCUGGGCCCAUUAUCUGGGUCGGGGACCGUGUAUGGUGGGUAGUUUGACUGGGGCGGUCUCCUCCUAAAGAGUAACGGAGGAGCUCGAAGGUACGCUCAGCGCGGUCGGACAUCGCGCACUGUGUGCAAAGGCAUAAGCGUGCUUGACUGCAAGAUCGACGGAUCAAGCAGGUAGGAAACUAGGACUUAGUGAUCCGGUGGUUCUGUAUGGAAGGGCCAUCGCUCAACGGAUAAAAGGUACUCCGGGGAUAACAGGCUGAUACCGCCCAAGAGUUCAUAUCGACGGCGGUGUUUGGCACCUCGAUGUCGGCUCAUCACAUCCUGGGGCUGUAGUCGGUCCCAAGGGUAUGGCUGUUCGCCAUUUAAAGUGGUACGCGAGCUGGGUUCAGAACGUCGUGAGACAGUUCGGUCCCUAUCUGCCAUGGGCGUUGGAGAUUUGAGAGGGGCUGCUCCUAGUACGAGAGGACCGGAGUGGACGAACCUCUGGUGUUCCGGUUGUCACGCCAGUGGCAUUGCCGGGUAGCUAUGUUCGGAAGCGAUAACCGCUGAAAGCAUCUAAGCGGGAAGCGCGCCUCAAGAUGAGAUCUCCCGGGGCACAAGCCCCCUGAAGGAACCAUGUAGACUACGUGGUUGAUAGGUCAGGUGUGUAAGUACAGCAAUGUAUUGAGCUAACUGAUACUAAUGAUCCGAGAGGCUUGACCAU
rnacentral:rRNA from 1 species